rnacentral:rRNA from 1 species
UACAGAGGGUGCGAGCGUUAAUCGGAAUUACUGGGCGUAAAGGGUGCGUAGGCGGUGGGGUAAGUUGGAUGUGAAAUCUUGGGGCUUAACCUCAAAAUUGCAUUCAAUACUGCUCCGCUCGAGUUCUGUAGAGGAGAUUGGAAUUUACGGUGUAGCAGUGAAAUGCGUAGAUAUCGUAAGGAACGCCAGUGGCGAAAGCGAAUCUCUGGGCAGCAACUGACGCUGAGGCACGAAGGCCAGGGGAGCAAACGGG